CAUAGCCUUCUCUGGACAGGUCCUGAAUGUCUAGUGUCUCUGGAGAAGACCCUGACCCCCUGCCAUCCCCAAAGACCAGAUCCCUCCGUGCGGCUCUUUGCGAAGACCUUUUCUCUUUGUCUUUGAUCUGCCUGCACUUUGCUGUGGGACACUGGACGAGUCACCAUCCUACGGGGAUUGUAAAAAGGGCUUGGUGUCCUCUCGCUCACACUUCGUAACUCCACGACCCUCAUGGCGCACACCAGAGGAAAAUCUUGUUGUGGAAUCCUUCAUCAGUAGUGCUGUGAGCUUCAUAUCAUAUCACACCAGGAGGUAUACAAUCUCUAGACAUCCCGUGGUUAGUGAUGCAUGACCGAUCAAUGAAUUCAGAAGGUGGCAGUCUGAUCUCCUCUCCUCCCCCGCUAUAAAGCUUCCCAUCAACCUUUCACCUAGUGCUUCAUCUAUUGGUGAUCAUGAACUGCUGCAAAAUGUCUGAUUGCAUUUUCCCUGUUGACACGUCCUUGAACAAGGACAAUUCUACAUGACCCUGGCAUUGCCACCUACUCAAACCUUUGAUCUGGAAUGCCACAAAUCUAAGAGAUCUUCUAUCCGGUGACAACAGCUCUUUGCAGACAUUGCAAAGUCCUUUUCUGGUUUAAGCUCUGCCUCUGCCAUGUGUUGUAAUCAGCACAGAAUGACAAGGGGUGAGCAGCAGUGUUAGAACAGAUGUGACACACCUGCAGCCUACCACUGCAGCCUGGCCUUUUUGGAGGAAGUCUUCCCUACUUUCUACCAGCCUGGCAACCUGAACAUAGAACAUGACCACAUGAGUCCAGAAGACCUGAAGAGAAGUGUACAGAUUUGGGUUUUCUUCCCAAAGAAGAAGAGGUGGGCAGGAGAAACUUCUUCCUGCUUGUGGAUGCAGUUGUGCGAGAAUAUAAUUCCCAAAGCAACAACAGCAGCCACUUUGUGACCACGAGGUAACCAACCCAAAUGGAAGCCAAUGUGGUAAGGAAGGCAGAACAAAAUUUGUUUAAUACAGAUUUUUAAUGAUCUUAUUAAGCUCUUCGAACCAAGUUUGGAACUACCUUCCUCAGAAUGAAAAAAACAAAAACAACUGGGAAUUCUGUAUCCGAGAUGCUUGUAGCCCGCCUUUCUAGCAUAGGGUACAUUCACUCCAGCUGGUUUACCUCUUGCUAUCAAAAUACAUAGGGCCUUUGUUGGUUGUUUGGAUUUCCUCUCAGUGUUGUGCAGACCAACAAAAUUUGGGGGUAUAUUAAAGUAAAUAUGCUUUAAAA